UCUCUUAGAGUUAAGAAGGACUCUUUUGCCAACAGAGAUGGCUAUCACAGAAGGUCUAGUAAAAUGCCUUGAAGUGAAGAUUGAUUCAGAGCAUAACAGUAGAUGCUGAAAUACAUAAAGUGCCAGGAUUAGUGGAAAGGAGAAGUGCUAUCAUAACAGAGGGCAAAGAAAAGCUGGAAGUGGUGACCCAAGAGCACAUUGAUUUGAAAGAGCAACCUAGAAGAACAAUACUACUGAGUACUGGAUGUGUAUGGUAUCUAAGGGCACUUGGAACAGCGGUGACAGCAACAGUCAUUACCUUGGUUCAGGCUGGACCUGCUGUGUGGAGACAACCCCAAUGCUGACAUCGCCUUCCACUUCAACCCGCGACUCGAUGCCCAGCACACCGUGGUCAUGAACAGUCAGGUGAGGGGCCGGUGGCUGCAUGAGAUCCGGACCCCUUGCCUGCCCUUCCAGGGGGGCCAACCCUUCCACCUGAGCAUAAAAGUGGAGGAAAAUUGCUUCAAGGUCUUCGUAGACCACCGGGAGUUCUGGAGCUUUGACCACCGGCUGGACGUGGAGGAGGUGAAGGCCCUGGAGGUGUCAGGGGCCGUGACUCUCUGCUCAGUGUGCACCUAAGGGCUCCCCGGGCAGACCAGAUCAGCAGCUGGAGAGGGGGGCGGCGACCUCCUGGAACAACGGUUUGGAGUGUGCAGGUUGGGGGGAGGGGUGUUGCUAGUCCUCCCGUGGGGGUGAGGAAGGGAUUUGCAA